UACGGAGGAUGCGAGCGUUAUCCGGAUUUAUUGGGUUUAAAGGGCGUGUAGGCGGGAGUGCAAGUCAGAUGUGAAAACCACGGGCUCAACCUGUGGCCUGCAUUUGAAACUGUACUUCUUGAGUACUGGAGAGGCAGACGGAAUUCCUAGUGUAGCGGUGAAAUGCGUAGAUAUUAGGAGGAACACCAGUGGCGAAGGCGGUCUGCUGGACAGCAACUGACGCUGAGGCUCGAAGGCGUGGGGAGCAAACAGG
rnacentral:rRNA from 1 species